CGAUUCCUUCUAGAACCACUAUAACAGCGAUUAAGGAUUAAUUUAGUUAUCAUAAGGACACAUAUCUAUCUUUUACUAAGUGGACAAUUGCCGGGGCAUUUUGGAUUAUUAUAUUUUGAAGCUUGUCGGCACGAAAGGAAAUUAUCCCAGCAGUAAAUAUCAUUGAAUGGAUAUGUUCACUUCAGGUGCUUCCUCUUGCGGCAGAUCAUCCAAGCAGCUCUGUAAACAAGAUUUUUGGAUUUCGAGGCUCGCUUUCUAUCGGUAUUUCUUUCUGCAAGAAUGGAUCCCCUCCAAUUUUUAUGAUGAGGGCCACUCGGCAUCGACUUAUUUGGCACAAUGCAUUUUACGAAUUUUAGGAGACAACCUGUCUUGUGUGGAGGCUGAAGCUAUUCUCAGCACUGUCCAUGACCCUCAGCAGCCAGAUGGCAGGUAGCAACUAUCUGUUCACUGUUGAAUGGUUGGAGAGGAAUGAUCGUGGAAAAGUCAGUAUCUCACAUCCUCAGCUGCCAGUCCUACGAGGAUGCUUUUGGCUUAUAUCCAGAUCUUGAGGCUCAUGGUGCGUUUAUCAACCUCUUUUCUGUGAAAUGUCCGUAUCUAGAUGACUGUCGUCAUAUCCUAACUUGAUUUCUAUUUUUAACCAUGAUAUUCUUUCGUUAUGUAUCAAAUUUGAUUCGAGGAGAAGUUAACUGGCAUUCUGCGAUGAAUUAAUGCUUUAGCUUAUUUGGCCUGCUAUUGCUGUUCUCACUAUAUAUUGGGGAUACGUGAAGAAUUUUGCUCGGAUUUGAUUUUUGGAACUGGGGGCGGAACGUACUGUCCUUGCUAGUUUGAAGCUAACGGGCAGGUUUGACAUAGUCUGGGUCCAGUGGCAGCCCCCUUGGACAGGCUAGGUCUUGUUGGAUGGUGCGUUCGGGUAAGUUGACUUUUUCUACUUUCAUUUCAUCAUUAUCUCAGCCGCUUGUGAAUAUCCAUAAAUGAUUUUCAUUGAGAUCCUCUUAAAAUACCUUUCGCAGUGAACAUAAAAAGAGAGAAUAAACAAAAUUAAUGCUCAGAUUUUAUGUCUUUUUAUGAAUUGCAUGGUUGGGUUUGCUUUUUUGAGGGCAGAGACAUACCAACUCUGGAGCUUUUCAAGAGUAAAUAAGCUUGCAAAGACUUGCUAUGCAUUUUGAUAAAUUCCCUUGUGCUCACAUGAUUUCAGUUUCUUUUUUUAAUGUCCUGAAGUUUUCCCCUUCUAUAAGGUAAUUGAAAGCAAUAGUCAUUCAGGCUGGAAGAAACUAAUGAAAUGAUAUUGCAUAACGAAAUGCUUUCCAGUAGUUAUCCGGACAUUGUUUGUCCAGGGUGGGAAGCUCAUUGAAAAUGAGUGGUGCAUUUGAUUUGUGCAACACUGCGGAAUUCCGAUCUUUUCUUCUCACUUGUCAAGCACCUGUAAGUUUUCAUGCUGCUAUUUUAUUUUGUCUUUUCCUUGUUUUUUGAAGUUUCUAUAUGGGUAUAUUGUCUUUCUUGCAGUAACAAAUUGCCGAAACCAUCAUGCUCCUUUAUACCUAUAAAUUCUUUCAGCUUUCAGCCAAGUUUUUUAGAUAAGAUCACAUUCAAAAUAAAAGUAUGUAAAUUUCUCUCGUUACCAACUUUCUUUCUUGAUCAGAGUUGGUCGAUUUUCCUCAUACACCGUCUGUAUUAAAGAGUUGACGUGAUAAUUUGCGUACAAAAUGGUGGCUCUGGUAAACUGCUAUAAAAGUAUCCAGAUCUUUUUUACUCCUAUUAAGGCAUAUGUGCAUCGAGUUUCCUAGAAGGACCAGGACUUCAAUCCUUGUGCAGUGGGUCUAAAAUCGCUGUAGGUUCUACGUGGUUUGAAUCAAGAGUGAAACUAGUGUUAUGUUAACCCAAUUAAUCAAAUUCGGUUAGAGUGGAAGCUUCAGAUAUUGGAUCUCUCUUGCUGGUUGCUAAUACAUCUAGUAUAGCUACAAGGUAUGCACUUUGUAUAAAAAGUUAUCCUGUCGUGAAAAGUAUAACGUUUUUACAAAACUCAAGUUUCUAUUCUAAGUGAAUAGUUGUAAUACAUUUACUGGUUAUUUAGGGGCAGUUGAAAGGAAGAAAGAAUCAGUAAACCAUCGCAAAUGUGAACACAGCUUAUUAAGUCCUACUGUCAAAUCUCGUUUCCAUCAUGUUGUAAAACAAUAGUGCUUGAGAAACAUCUUCCAAAUAAACAAAAAGAUCUUGACUUUGUCUACA